GAGACUGCCGUGGAAGGAGCGGGUGGAAUAAGUGGGGGGCGGGCCGUGGCCAGGAGGACGUGGCGUAAAAAGCGCGGUGGUGGGUUGUCGGGAGUGGCGUGGAAACGCACAGCGUAACUGUGAGCGUGCGGGGGGUACGGGCAGACAAGAGUACUGCAGGGGAGACUGGAAUACCAAGUGUAGCGGUGGAAUGCGCAGAUAUCAGGAGGAACACCGGUGGCGAAGGGGGGUAUCUAGGCAGUAACUGACGCUGAGGAGCGAAAGCGUGGGGAGCGAACAGGAUUAGAUACCCCAGUAGUC
rnacentral:rRNA from 1 species